AUUGAACGCUGGCGGCAGGCCUAACACAUGCAAGUCGAGCGGAUGAAGGGAGCUUGCUCCUGGAUUCAGCGGCGGACGGGUGAGUAAUGCCUAGGAAUCUGCCUGGUAGUGGGGGAUAACGUCCGGAAACGGGCGCUAAUACCGCAUACGUCCUGAGGGAGAAAGUGGGGGAUCUUCGGACCUCACGCUAUCAGAUGAGCCUAGGUCGGAUUAGCUAGUUGGUGGGGUAAAGGCCUACCAAGGCGACGAUCCGUAACUGGUCUGAGAGGAUGAUCAGUCACACUGGAACUGAGACACGGUCCAGACUCCUACGGGAGGCAGCAGUGGGGAAUAUUGGACAAUGGGCGGAAGCCUGAUCCAGCCAUGCCGCGUGUGUGAAGAAGGUCUUCGGAUUGUAAAGCACUUUAAGUUGGGAGGAAGGGCAGUAAGUUAAUACCUUGCUGUUCUGACAUUACCAACAGAAUAAGCACCGGCUAACUUCGUG
rnacentral:rRNA from 1 species